AACGAACGCUGGCGGUGUGCCUCAUACAUGCAAGUCGUACGCGAAUCCUGCCGCAAGGCAGGGUUUGAGUGGCAAACGGGUGCGUAACACGUAGGUAAUCUUCCUUUGAGUUGGGGAUAAGCCCUCGAAAGGGGUCGUAAUACGAAUAACACUUCGGGCCGGCAUCGGCCUGAAAUUAAAGUAAUGGCCUCCUGCUUGCAAGCUAUCGCUCGGAGAUGAGCCU
rnacentral:rRNA from 1 species